rnacentral:tRNA from 1 species
GCUUCCGUAGCCCAAUCGGCAGAGGCUAUCGUUUCAAAAACGAUAUGUUAUGGGUUCGAGUCCCAUGGGAAGCACCA